rnacentral:sRNA from 1 species
CAUUUUAUCCUCUUCAAGCUGGUGCUUUAUGUAGUCCUGUAUCUUCGCCGUAUUCUUACCCACCGUAUCGACAUAGUACCCUCUGCACCAGAACUCCCUGUUCCUGUA